rnacentral:rRNA from 1 species
UACGUAGGGGGCAAGCGUUAUCCGGAAUUAUUGGGCGUAAAGAGUACGUAGGUGGCAACCUAAGCGCAGGGUUUAAGGCAAUGGCUCAACCAUUGUUCGCCCUGCGAACUGGGAUGCUUGAGUGCAGGAGUGGAAAGCGGAAUUCCUAGUGUAGCGGUGAAAUGCGUAGAUAUUAGGAGGAACACCAGUGGCGAAGGCGGCUUUCUGGACUGUAACUGACACUGAGGUACGAAAGCGUGGGGAGCAAACAGG